rnacentral:rRNA from 1 species
ACUCCUACGGGAGGCAGCAGUGGGGAAUAUUGGACAAUGGGGGCAACCCGUAGCAUCCAGCCAUGCCGCGUGAGUGAAGAAGGCCCUAGGGUCGUAAAGCUCUUUCAACUGUGAAGAUAAUGACGGUAGCAGUAGAAGAAACCCCGCCUAGCUACCCGUGCCAGCAGCCGCGGUAAUACGGAGGGGGUUAGCGUUGUUCGGAAUUACUGGGCGUAAAGCGCACGUAGGCGGACUAUUAAGUUAGAGGUGAAAUCCCAGGGCUCAACCCUGGAACUGCCUUUAAUACUGGUAGUCUUGAGUUCGAGAGAGGUGAGUGGAAUUCCGAGUGUAGAGGUGAAAUUCGUAGAUAUUCGGAGGAACACCAGUGGCGAAGGCGGCUCACUGGCUCGAUACUGACGCUGAGGUGCGAAAGUGUGGGGAGCAAACAGGAUUAGAUACCCUGGUAGA